rnacentral:rRNA from 1 species
GACGAACGCUGGCGGCGUGCUUAACACAUGCAAGUCGAGCGGUGAGGCCUUUCGGGGUACACGAGCGGCGAACGGGUGAGUAACACGUGGGUGAUCUGCCCUGCACUUCGGGAUAAGCCUGGGAAACUGGGUCUAAUACCGGACAUGACCUCCUAUCGCAUGGUGGGUGGUGGCAAGAUUUAUCGGUGCAGGAUGGGCCCGCGGCCUAUCAGCUUGUUGGUGGGGUAAUGGCCUACCAAGGCGACGACGGGUGGCCGACCUGAGAGGGUGACCGGCCACACUGGGACUGAGACACGGCCCAGACUCCUACGGGAGGCAGCAGUGGGGAAUAUUGCACAAUGGGCGAAAGCCUGAUGCAGCGACGCCGCGUGAGGGAUGACGGCCUUCGGGUUGUAAACCUCUUUCAGCAGGGACGAAGCGCAAGUGACGGUACCUGCAGAAGAAGCACCGGCUAACUACGUG